AUUUUACGAACCCUUCCUCAACCAUGCUGAUCGUAUUGCUAGCUUGUAUCUCUGUAGCAGUAGCUGUACCAGCUUCUGAAUACAGUGGACGAAAACGAUACGACAAUUACCGACUAAUAUCAGUCCAGCCCGAGAAUGAACAGCAGCUUAAAGUUUUGAGCGACAUUCAGACCGAAGGACAUGAUUCGGUAUUUUUCGAUUUCUGGGCUGGCCCAGCUUUAAAACGUCCAGCGGAAUUCACUGUAUCACCAUCCCAGUAUGAAAAAGUUAUGCAGUACCUUCAAGACAAUAAUAUGACACCAACUGUAGAGGUAGACAACAUCCAAAUGUUCGAGAAUUUUGCCGAAUUUGAAGCCAAAGUCCAACCGGAGUUAUUCUUUAACAACAUAGUAGAUCAUUCACAAUACCAUCGAUAUGAUCAAAUUUCAGAAUACUUGACUGGUUUUGCUAAUAAUUUUAAUUCGAUUGCUCGCAAGAGAAGCAUGUCCCAGACUACAGCUGAUGGUGGAAGAACUAUGGACUAUCUAGAG